rnacentral:lncRNA from 1 species
CAGUAAGGUUUCGAGAACACACUAAAGCCUGCCGACAAUGCAUUCGUUCAUAAGAAACGUAGGAUCCAUUAUCUACAAUCCGAGCAAGGCAUAUUUGAAUUGCAGUUACGUCAAGGAGCAAAGGAAUGUCACGCUACCAGAAACUUCUUUUCCAGCGAACAAAAGAGCGGGAGACCAAACUAUUUCAAUCGCGACUUCGCCAAACUCUCGCCCACCUGCGGCAAGAUGUACGAAACCAAGGACAGUACAAACUUAAUUUAAGGCAGGAGAUCGUUCGCACACAAAUCUAGAACGAAUCACAUAAAGAAGUGCGCAGCCCCUGAUUCACCAGAGCAAUCAUUGAAGGUAAAAACACGGCGGCCAAAUCAGGACGGGACGUCACGCCGUCCAGGAAGAGGCAGGGGCUCAGUCCAAAGAUAUCUUUCAUGUCAGGUGGUCACAUUCCAAUUAUCAGCCGACAGAUAAACCCUAAUUACGAGAAGCGCCACACACUUCAUCCCACCCAUUAACAUACUUAACAAGGACACCGACUAAUCCAGCGCUUAACGCAAUGCUCCAUACCUGAUGACGGCGAAACACCCUGCCGCCGACUUCUCAGAAGAUACACAUGCGGGUCACAGAGUUUGAACCUUUCAAACCUGGAGGACUCACUCAGCCCCUAUGUUAGACGUCGCUCUUCAGGCAGUGCAAUUAAGCUCGAUGAACCCAAAACUACAAUGGCAAUCGCAGCUCUCAACCGCAGCUCCCUGGACUGAACGAACUCGAGAUUAGCAGCGCACGAGGGAGUGUAUACCAAGCAGCCGUUACAACAUCGGAGAGGGCCGAGAAAGGGUUUAAGAAU